CAUAUGCCAGAAUCAUAUGGACCGCAGACUGGCCCUGGUGAUUCCGUUAAGAAAAAAGAGGAAAAAUCAGUGCUUGUGCUCAUUGGUCAUUGGACAAAGGGUGUAUGCCAGAAUUUUUUCAAGAACAGUCUGAAUCUGACAUGGAAAAAAUUAAGAAAAACAGCCUUCCUGUUUAUAAAUCUACAUUCUGACAAAGGAUCAUUUUCUUGAGAUAGGUGGAACCAACAGUCAAAUACAGACACUUCUAAGAAAAGUAAAAAUCUGGCUCAGGUAAGAAAGAAAUUCAGGAGUUCUUAAAUUGCCCUUGGAGUUCUUGGAUUGCAUCAAACUGCUAAAAGACCUCAACAAAAACAGCGUCUUGAAAAUAAAAAUGAAAAUAUUCAG